rnacentral:rRNA from 1 species
UGGGGAAUAUUGGACAAUGGGCGAAAGCCUGAUCCAGCCAUGCCGCGUGAGUGAUGAAGGCCCUAGGGUUGUAAAGCUCUUUUGUCCGGGAAGAUAAUGACUGUACCGGAAGAAUAAGCCCCGGCUAACUUCGUGCCAGCAGCCGCGGUAAUACGAAGGGGGCUAGCGUUGCUCGGAAUCACUGGGCGUAAAGCGCACGUAGGCGGGCUCUUAAGUCGGAGGUGAAAUCCCAAGGCUCAACCUUGGAACUGCCUUCGAUACUGAGAGUCUUGAGUCCGGAAGAGGUAAGUGGAACUCCGAGUGUAGAGGUGAAAUUCGUAGAUAUUCGGAAGAACACCAGUGGCGAAGGCGGCUUACUGGUCCGGUACUGACGCUGAGGUGCGAAAGCGUGGGGAGCAAACAGG